rnacentral:rRNA from 1 species
UUAGGAAUCUUCCACAAUGGGCGAAAGCCUGAUGGAGCGACGCCGCGUGAGGGAUGAAGGCCUUAGGGUUGUAAACCUCUAAAAGAGGGACGAUAAUGACGGUACCUCUUGAAUAGCACCGGCUAACUCCGUGCCAGCAGCCGCGGUAAUACGGAGGGUGCAAGCGUUAUCCGGAAUCACUGGGCGUAAAGGGCGCGUAGGCGGUCUGUUAAGUCCGAUGUUAAAUCCCGGGGCUCAACCCCGGAUAAGCGUUGGAUACUGGCAGGCUAGACGGUCGGAGAGNGGAGUGGAAUUACCAGUGUAGCGGUGGAAUGCGUAGAUACUGGUAGGAACACCCAUUGCGAAGGCAGCUCGCUGGACAACACGUGACGCUGAGGCGCGAAAGUGUGGGGAGCAAACC